rnacentral:lncRNA from 1 species
CUUUAAGAAGUAACUGUCUAAAUAGCUGCAAAACAAAUGACCACAAAGUAAAGGAGUAAGAGAGCAGUAGAAGAUGAUAUCUUUUAAAUACACGCAAAACCAAACAGGGGACAGCUACCAACUGUCUUUUGUUCCCUCCAAGGACAAGAACAAAUAAAAACAAAACACCUGGGAAUAAGGCAAGAAAAGUAAACUACAGUGGACCAUAUGAUUCAAGAUUCUUUAACUUACUACUAACAUGAUGAGUUAGUAUGAUUGAAAAACUCCUUAAUUUCUCCCCUAGUCCUGCAUCACUGUUUUUCUUUUCGCUCUGAACUUUUUGUAGAGUUAGCUAAAAACAGUAUGCCUUUCUACCUG